GCUGGAACAGUCCUUCCCCUUUGGGGCCGGUUCACAGGUGGUGCAUGGUUGUCGUCAGCUCGUGUCGUGAGAUGUUGGGUUAAGUCCCGCAACGAGCGCAACCCUCGUUCCAUGUUGCCAGCGCGUAAUGGCGGGGACUCAUGGGAGACUGCCGGGGUCAACUCGGAGGAAGGUGGGGACGACGUCAAAUCAUCAUGCCCCUUAUGUCUUGGGCUUCACGCAUGCUACAAUGGCCGGUACAAAGGGUUGCGAUACUGUGAGGUGGAGCUAAUCCCAAAAAGCCGGUCUCAGUUCGGAUUGGGGUCUGCAACUCGACCCCAUGAAGUCGGAGUCGCUAGUAAUCGCAGAUCAGCAACGCUGCGGUGAAUACGUUCCCGGG
rnacentral:rRNA from 1 species